rnacentral:lncRNA from 1 species
GAAAACCAAACAUCACAUGUUCUCACUUAUAAGUGGGAGCUGAACAAAACACAUGGACACAGGUACCAUUGGAACUGCCCGAGACAUUAAAUGGUAAUGAUGUGGUUACAGUUAUUUGCCAAUUGAAGUGAUUCCUGAAGAAGCACAGAGACAUUUAUUUCCAAGCUUUGAAGGGUUUUGUACUUUUUAAUUAGAUUUUGAAAACAGAGCAGCCAUCUACAGAAUUAUAUAUAUGGUAACUGAUGAUGCCAGACUCCUCCAAAAAAUUAAGCACACAUGGGCUAAAUUUUUAUACCGGACAAUGGAAAUUAAACUCACAGUUCCUGUAUUGUUUAAUAAUGUCAACUUAUUUUGGUUUCAUUUUUCUUGUUUUUUUUUCUUUUCUUUUCUCACCUUUCCUUUCUUCUCUUGUUUAUUCUCUCUGUCUCUUUUUUUAUUUCUGUGAUUUUCUGUGCCUCUCUGCUGUUUUUGCUGCCUUUUUCUUUCUGUAGUUACAGGUACAUCCCAUUUACUAAAUGAUGAAUAUCUCCAUAUUCAUCAAUUGAUUUCAUCAUAUUCAUCAAUAUCACCAUAUUCAUCAAUUGGUGUUGUCUUAAAGUAUCUGACCUCAUCAACUGUUCAUAUGUGUUUCAGUGAUUAAAUGUGGCUUUCCUUAACUGGUAUCUUUCUCAUGUUUCAUCAUUAAUCUUAAUGCCUAAAGUGUAAGCAUGACAGUCUUUAACCCUUUGCUUCUUUCUAAUUUUUCUCCUAUUUUUAUUUUAUUCCCUUCUUCUACCUUACUCAUGUUUUCCAAACUCCAAUUCAUUUGGAACCUUCCUCAUAAAUCCCUAAUGUGAGAUACUCUGUUUGCUUCUACUUAACCUUCCUCCUUAUCCAUUGUCAAACACACACACACACACACACACACAAUUUAUAAAUCUGUAAAAUGAGAGGAGAGUUUAUUUCUUAUAAAAGGUUAUAGCCUGCAAGGUGGCCAUUCUGCAGGCUGGGAACUAUGCCUCCAGAAA